AUACGGAGGGUGCAAGCGUCAUCCGGAAUCAUUGGGUUUAAAGGGUCCGCAGGCGGAUUAAUAAGUCAGUGGUGAAAUCCUCUCGCUCAACGAGAGAACUGCCAUUGAAACUGUUAGUCUUGAAUUCGGUCGAAGUAGGCGGAAUGUGUCACGUAGCGGUGAAAUGCAUAGAUAUGACACAGAACACCGAUAGCGAAGGCAGCUUACUAGACCUGGAUUGACGCUCAUGGACGAAAGCGUGGGGAGCGAACAGGAUUAGAAACCCCAGUAGUCC
rnacentral:rRNA from 1 species